UACGUAGGUGGCAAGCGUUGUCCGGAUUUACUGGGCGUAAAGAGCGCGCAGGCGGUCGACCAAGUCGCGUGUGAAAGCCCCCAGCUCAACUGGGGAAGUGCCUUGGAUACUGUGCAGCUCGAGCGAGGUAGGGGUCGUGGGAACUUCCGGUGGAGCGGUGAAAUGCGUUGAUAUCGGAAGGAACGCCGGUGGCGAAAGCGCACGACUGGACCUUUUCUGACGCUGAGGCGCGAAAGCCAGGGGA
rnacentral:rRNA from 1 species